UACGUAGGGCGCGAGCGUUGUCCGGAUUUAUUGGGCGUAAAGAGCUCGUAGGCGGUGUGUCGCGUCGGCCGUGAAAACCUGCAGCUUAACUGUGGGCUUGCGGUCGAUACGGGCAUCACUGGAGUUCGGCAGGGGAGACUGGAAUUCCUGGCGUAGCGGUGAAAUGCGCAGAUAUCAGGAGGAACACCGGUGGCGAAGGCGGGUCUCUGGGCCGAUACUGACGCUGAGGAGCGAAAGCGUGGGGAGCGAACAGG
rnacentral:rRNA from 1 species